rnacentral:rRNA from 1 species
AAAUUUAAACGGCCGCAGUACCCUGACUGUGCGAAGGUAGCAUAAUCAUUYGCUCUUUAAUWGGGAGCUGGAAUGAAUGGUUUGACGAGGGCUUAACUGUCUUAGAUUAAUYUGUUAGAAAUYGACUYUUAGGUGAAGAGGCCUAAAUUAGGCUAUAGGACAAGAAGACCCUAUUGAGCUUUAGUYUUUUACUUAAAUAAAAGUAUAUAGAUAGAGUYUAAUUAAGUAAUAUAUUUUGAUUGGGGCGAUCAAGGAAAAAGGUAAUCUUCCUUUAAUGUUAUAUAAGUUAUAUGAAUUGGUGAUCCAGGACUAUUCUGAUUAUAAGAAGAAGUUACCAUAGGGAUAACAGCGUAAUCUUUUUUGAGAGUUCUUAUCGAAAAAGAGGGUUGCGACCUCGAUGUUGGACUAAGGUGUCCUGAAGGUGUAGCAGCUUUCGAGGGUUGGUCUGUUCGACCAUUAAAACCUUACG